CAGAGAGAGAGACAUAUGACAGGGUGAGAGAGAGACAGAGAGAUAGACAGAGAGAGAGAGAGAGAGAGAGAGAGAGAGAGAGAGAGAGAGAGAGAGAGACAGAGAGAGAGACAGAGAGAGAGACAGAGAGAGAGACAGAGAGAGAGACAGAGAGAGAGAGAGAGAGAGAUAUGACAGGGUGAGAGAGAGACAGAGAGAGAGAGAGAAAUAUGACGGGGUGAGAGAGAGGAAAAGUACAGGAGAUACCAUCUCUUUCGGUCUAGCAGGCUGUUUACAGGCUCCAGACCCUGAGAUGUAAAAGCAGGGGGAGGUAGAAAACCAUGGCUGCAUUAGAAAUAAAAUGUUCAUCCUGAGAAUGACAAGUAUUUCUGAAGUGUAAACUAUGAAUGCUCUCUCCUCCUCCUCCUCCUCCUCCUCCUCCUCCUCAUGUCUGUGUGAAUGGGUGUGUGUUUGGGGCUGAUGUUUUGGUCUGAAAUGGAAGAGAACUCAAACACUAACUGUAUGUCUCCCAAAGGGGAGAAUUUGAGAAAGAGGGACAGACAGACAGACAGACAGACAGACAGACAGACAGACAGACAGACAGACAGACAGAGAGACAGACAGAGAGACGGGGAGAGAAGGAACAACAGGUUGUCUGAGUUAAAGCAGCCUCAGGUCAGUAGAUCUCCUCUGGGAACUCACUGGGACCUUUUAUUUCCCCAUCCCACAGUUAAUAGCAUGUUUAAAGGUUGUGGCUGCUAUUUUAGAGUGGAGGUAGAGAGGAAAAGGUUGCCCCCCAAGCUGUGGGACCCUAGGGGAAGUACAUACAGGGAUGAAGGGAGAUGAGAGGGGGAGGAUGUAGAGGGAGGAGGGAGAUAGGGAUGAAGGGAGAUGUAAAGAGAGGGGGUAGAGAGGGAGAGAGGAUGUAGAGAGAAGAGGGAGAGAGGAUGUAGAGAGAGGAGAUAGAGGAAGAGAGGAUGUAGUGAGAGGAGGUAGAGAGAGAGGAUGUAGAGAGAGAGGGAGAGAGGAGAUAGAGGGAGAGCGGAUGUAGUGAGAGGAGGUAGAGAGAGAGGAUAUAGAGAGAAGAGGGAGAGAGGGAGAGAUGAUGUAGAGAGGGAGAGAGGAUGUAGAGAGAGGAGGUAGAGAGAGAGAGAGGAGGUAGAGAGAGAGGAUGUAGAGAGAGGAGGUAGAGAGGAUGUAGAGAGAAGAGGGAGAGAGGGAGAGAGGAGGUAGAGAUAGGGAAUGAGUGAGGGAGCAGAGAGGAGGAGGGUGGAGAGAAAUGAGAGAGAAGCAGAGAGAGGGAAGCAGAGAGAGAGAAGCAGAGAGAGAGAGAAGCAGAGAUAGAGAGAAGAAGAGAGAGAGAAGCAGAGAGAGAGAAGAAGAGAGAGAAGCAGAGAGAGAGAGAAGCAGAGAGAGAGAAGAAGAAAGAGAGAAGAAGAGAGAGAGAAGCAGAGCGAGAUCAGCAGAGAGAGAGAGAAGAAGAGAGAGAGAGAAGAAGAGAGAGAGAAGAGAGAGAGAGAAGCAGAGAGAGAGAAGAAGAGAGAGAGAGAAGCAGAGAGAGAAGCAGAGAGAGAGAAGAGAGAGAGAAGCAGAGAGAGAAGCAGAGAGAGAGAAGAAGAGAGAGAGAAGCAGAGAGAGAUGUUGUUGAUAGUAAAGGUGACUAAGGAGCGUGUGGUUUUGGUGACAGAAUGAUGUCACUGAUUAGUCCCACCUGCAGAGAUGCUGGAGGGUGUGUGUGUGUGUGUGUGUGUGUGUGUGUGUGUGUGUGUGUGUGUGUGUGUGUGGAAACUGAGCUGCACUUCCUAACCUCCUGCCCAAUGUAUGACCAUAUUAGAGAGACAUAUUUCCCUCAGAUUACACAGAUCCACAAAUAAUUUGAAAAUAAACCCAAUUUUGAAAAACUCCCAUAUCUACUGGGUGAAAUUCCACAGUGUGCCAUCACAGCAGCAAGAUUUGUGACCUGUUGCCAGGAGAAAAGGGCAACCAAUGAAGAACAAACACCAUUGUAAAUACAACCCAUAUUUAUGCUUAUUUAUUUUAUAUUGUGUCCUUUAACCAUUUGUACAUUGUUGAAACACUGUAUAUAUAUAUAAUAUGACAUUUGUAAUGUCUUUACUGUUUUGAAACUUCUGUAUGUGUAAUGUUUACUGUUCAUUUUUGUUGUUUUUCACUUUAUAUAUUCACUUUGUAUGUUGUCUACCUCACUUGCUUUGGCAAUGUUAACACAUGUUUCCCAUGCCAAUAAAGCCCUUGAAUUGAAUUGAAUUGAAUUGAAAGGCAGAGAGAGACAGACAGAGAGAGAGAGACAGAGAGACAGACCGAGAAAGGCAGAGAGAGAGAGACAGAGAGACAGACCGAGAAAGGCAGAGAGAAAGACAGAGAGACAGACAGAGAAAGGCAGAGAGACAGACAUGAUUCCUGUACCCAAUGAUUAAACAUGAAAUGGUCAGAGCACUAAAGUGCUUCAUCAGUAGAGUUGUCUUUCAAUGCUGUCUCCAUAGGAGAACCCUUUUUGGUUCCAGGUAGAACCAUUUUUGGUUCCAGGUAGAACCCUUUUUGGUUCCAGGUAGAACCCUUUUUGGUUCCAGGUAGAACCAUUUUUGGUUCCAGGUAGAACCCUUUUUGGUUCCAGGUAGAACCCUUUUUGGUUCCAAGUAGAACCCAUUUUGGUUCCAAGUAGAACUGUUUUGGGUUCCAUGUAGAACCCUUUUUGGUUCCAAGUAGAACCCUUUUGGGUUCCACGUAGAACCCUUUUGGGUUCCACGAAGAACCUUCUUCCAUGUAGAACCCUCUUUCUUCAAAAGGCUCUCCUAUGGGGACAGCCGAAGAACUCUUUUUAGGUUCUAGGUUCUAGAUCUCCCACAAUCCCUCAGUGGACUCGGUUAUCCUAUAGUAUAAAGCACUAAAACCCGGCCAUUGAUUGACGUCGUGGUGCAUCUCGCCGCCAUCGCUUCUGUCUCGGGUGACGGUAAUCUUUUGGUUGUCGUGACAUUCUGCUCCAUCUGUGUGGGAGGGAUCCAGGGGAUUGAGCCUGC
ensembl:lncRNA